UACGAAGGGGGCUAGCGUUGCUCGUAAUCACUGGGCGUAAAGGGUGCGUAGGCGGGUCUUUAAGUCAGGGGUGAAAUCCUGGAGCUCAACUCCAGAACUGCCUUUGAUACUGAAGAUCUUGAGUUCGGGAGAGGUGAGUGGAACUGCGAGUGUAGAGGUGAAAUUCGUAGAUAUUCGCAAGAACACCAGUGGCGAAGGCGGCUCACUGGCCCGAUACUGACGCUGAGGCACGAAAGCGUGGGGAGCAAACAGG
rnacentral:rRNA from 1 species